rnacentral:rRNA from 1 species
AGAGUUUGAUCCUGGCUCAGAACGAACGUUAGCGGCGCGCUUAACACAUGCAAGUCGAACGAGAAAGGGCUUCGGCCCCGGUACAGUGGCGCACGGGUGAGUAACACGUGGGUAAUCUUCCCUCGAGCGGGGGAUAACGUUCCGAAAGGAACGCUAAUACCGCAUAAGACCACGGCUUCGAGAGAAGCUGCGGUCAAAGUAGGCCUCUGAAUUCACGCUUACACUCGAGGAUGAGCCCGCGGCCCAUCAUGGUAGUUGGUAGGGUAACGGCCUACCAAGCCGAAGACGGGUAGCUGGUCUUAGAGGACGAUCAGCCACACUGGAACUGAGACACGGUCCAGACUCCUACGGGAGGCAGCAGUGGGGAAUCUUGCGCAAUGGGCGAAAGCCUGACGCAGCGACGCCGCGUGGGUGAUGAAGGCCUUCGGGUCGUAAAGCUCUGUGGGGAGAGACGAAUAAGGCACGGCGAAUACCCGUGGUGAUGACGGUAUCUCCUUAGCAAGCACCGGCUAACUCUGUGCCAGCAGCCGCGGUAAUACAGAGGGUGCAAGCGUUGUUCGGAAUUACUGGGCGUAAAGCGAGUGUAGGCGGUGAGAUAAGUCGGACGUGAAAGCCCGGGGCUCAACCUCGGAAGUGCGCUCGAUACUGUCUCGCUUGAGUGUCGGAGAGGUUGGUGGAAUUCUGGGUGUAGAGGUGAAAUUCGUAGAUAUCCAGAGGAACACCGGUGGCGAAGGCGGCCAACUGGACGAAUACUGACGCUGAGGCACGAAAGCGUGGGGAGCAACAGGAUUAGAUACCCUGGUAGUCCACGCCGUAAACGAUGGGUGCUAGGUGUCACGGGCAUUGACUCCCGUGGUGCCGUAGCCAACGCAUUAAGCACCCCGCCUGGGAAGUACGGCCGCAAGGCCAAAACUCAAAUGAAUUACCGGGGGCCCGCACAAGCGGUGGAGCAUGU